GCCUUCCUUCUCCCGCACUCACCCCGCCUCCCUCUCCUCUUCCUCUCCCCCUAGCGCCGCCGCACCCGCGCCUCCCUCUCCCCCUAGCGUCGCCCGCACCCGCGCCUCCCUCUCCUCCUCUCGCCCCUAGCGCCGCCACCACUUCCUCCUUCCCCAUCGCCGCCUGGCCUCCUCCCCUCACGUUCUCCUCUUUCCACCCUUCCGAUCUGGCGCCGCCCAAACCCUAACGCCCCGGCCCGGCCCCGGCUCCCACAGGAGGGAAGGAGGAAUGGCGUGGCGAGGCAAAGCCGCACCCGAGGCUGACCAGUAGGCCUCCGCCAAGGCCGCGCCCAAGGCUGACCAGUAGGCCACGGUCACCAAGCGCCCGCACAAGGGAACCACGUCGGGGAAGAAGAAGCCGGCGCCCAAGUCCGUUGCUGCUGCACGCCCUCUCUAGCCGCCUCUCAUCGUCCUCACGUUCGGCAGAAGGAGGACGAGGACGUUGAGCGGACAUGGGCUAUCACUCUCUCCGCGGGCGAGCUCGAGCGCUAGAGCAUUAGCGAGGACCUCCGCGAGUUCGUCAACGGCAUGACCGUAAUCACCUUCCGUGACUUCCCCCUUGCAAGAUGUGUUGGAGCCGUCGGAUGUGUCCACGUUGUUGAAUGUGCCUCAGCAUCUGAACGAAUGGCAGGCUAGGGAUACCACUCACGUCCUCUCGCCCGUCAGGAUUUUGUUUCCAUUAACCAUUUCAGUCAUGGGAGAUUUGGUUUAUGUGGCUCUCCAUCGAUGGAAUGCCGAUGAAUGCACAUAUGAACAUACAUACAUAGUUCUGUUUUGCUUUAGAAUUCAGUGUCAGGUACCAUCCCUCCAUGAGGUUUUAUCCAGUGUCUUUCUCUUUCCUUAAUAAUUGUUGCACUUUUGAUUGAAGAAAACUCUAUGGAGGUUGCUGAUUUGGAGCUCAGCUAGGGAUGCUCUAAAUUUCAUGGUUGUUGCUUGAUGUGGAAUAUGCAACUGGAACCGGCGACCAGCCCUUCCUCGCCCUCAGCCUCGACACCACCACUGACGCCUCCAGGAGCAGUGGGGCAUCGCCGGUGGCGCCGGCAAGGCAAUGGUUGUGGUUAGGCUUUAGUGUCAGGUUCCUCACAGUUGUAGCUGUUGGGGAAACACUGCUAUGCUCGCUAUCCGGUGGUGGGGUUUGGGCAUGCCACUUGUGCUCCUUCGGAUUGGCAUGGAUGCCUCCGCGCUCGGAGUCUGCUGUAUCUACGGGUUCCUAGGUGUUGUCAUAUGCUCCAGAUUUUAUAUGGCCCAUUGUAUAAGAUGCAGUUUGGAUUAUUAAUCUGGAACAACUAUAUCAUGGAGGUGUUGUUUAAGGUUCCCUUGCUAAUUUUAUCUUAAGCUGCAGUUCUGCAUCUUUGGGAGGUUAGGAGACCAUCAACCGUAAGGAGGAAUAAAAAGAAGUUCAGAAGCCAAGGACCAUCUUCAACCUGAUUUUAGGCAUCCUCAAGUAAAGAAGCUUGAGGUGGCACAAAGGUCAAUAGGCGACAUAUCAGUAGAGCUUGAUCCUGUGGAUUCUCCUGAACUAAAGCUUACUGAUAAAACAGAGCUUUCUAUGCUUGAAAGGGUUUUGCCAAUUUACAAGACCCAUAUGCGUCUCUCUCUGCAAAUUGCCUAUUUAGUAUUCCAAAUUUCAGUCAACUAUCAUACUGGAGAAAGCGGCGGCGGAUAUUUAUUCAUGUUGGAUUUGUACAGUUAUGGAAUUGUUGAUUCAAGCUUUAAAAUCCACUCCCUCUGGUGCUCCUCGCACGCAUGUCUGCGCCUCCAUCCUCCUCCCCAUCGGGACCAGGCAGGGGAAGGAGGAGUGCGGGCCACAUAGACGACAUGGUGACCGAGCUUAUUGUGGCGCCGUCGCCGUUCCUUUGGACGCGGUAGAAGGUGCGAUGGCAAAAGAGAGAGGAGAGGAGGUCCAGCCAUCUGCGGUGCUGCGCCACCGUCUAGAACGAGAUGCUCAUCCUGCUGCUCCACAACAUGGCAGUGUGCAGCUUGCAGAGGCAGACUUCGGGUUGGCAUGGUCGUGCUCCCUCCUCCUAGCUUUUCCGCUUUAGUUUGUUCAUGUUCGCUGUUCUGCAGGGAUGAGAGGGCUUUCUAACUGUAAUGAUGUUCUAGCUAGGAGAAGACGAA